rnacentral:rRNA from 1 species
GUAGGGAAUCUUCCGCAAUGGGCGAAAGCCUGACGGAGCAACGCCGCGUGAGUGAUGAAGGUCUUCGGAUCGUAAAGCUCUGUUGUUAGGGAAGAACAUAUGUGUAAGUAACUGUGCACAUCUUGACGGUACCUAACCAGAAAGCCACGGCUAACUACGUGCCAGCAGCCGCGGUAAUACGUAGGUGGCAAGCGUUAUCCGGAAUUAUUGGGCGUAAAGCGCGCGUAGGCGGUUUUUUAAGUCUGAUGUGAAAGCCCACGGCUCAACCGUGGAGGGUCAUUGGAAACUGGAAAACUUGAGUGCAGAAGAGGAAAGUGGAAUUCCAUGUGUAGCGGUGAAAUGCGCAGAGAUAUGGAGGAACACCAGUGGCGAAGGCGGCUUUCUGGUCUGUAACUGACGCUGAGGUGCGAAAGCGUGGGGAUCAAACAGGAUUAGAUACCCGUGUAGUCC